GGCGGACGGGUGAGUAAUGUCUGGGAAACUGCCUGAUGGAGGGGGAUAACUACUGGAAACGGUAGCUAAUACCGCAUAACGUCGCAAGACCAAAGAGGGGGACCUUCGGGCCUCUUGCCAUCGGAUGUGCCCAGAUGGGAUUAGCUAGUAGGUGGGGUAACGGCUCACCUAGGCGACGAUCCCUAGCUGGUCUGAGAGGAUGACCAGCCACACUGGAACUGAGACACGGUCCAGACUCCUACGGGAGACAGCAUG
rnacentral:rRNA from 1 species